rnacentral:rRNA from 1 species
AUUGAACGCUGGCGGCAGGCCUAACACAUGCAAGUCGAACGCGUGGCGGACGGGUGAGUCAUGUCUGGGAAACUGCCUGAUGGCGGGGGUUAACUACUGGAACCGGUAGCUAAUACCGCAUACCAUUAGCUGUGCCCUGAGGGGAUUCGCUUGUUGGUAGGGUAACGGCUCACCAAGGCGACGAUCCCUAGCUGGUCUGAGAGGAUGACCAGCCACACUGGAACUGAGACACGGUCCAGACUCCUACGGGAGGCAGCAGUAGGGAAUAUUGCACAAUGGGCGCAAGCCUGAUGGAGCCACGCCGCGUGUAUGAAGAAGGCCUUCGGGUUGUAAAGUACUUUCAGCGGGGAGGCGUUACCCGCAGAAGAAGCACCGGCUAACUCCGUGCCAGCCGCCGCGGUAAUUC